AUGCCUAUAGACCUGCAGCCAGACCACCUCUCAUGUGUGGCAACUUGCAAGGAUCAGCUGACUCAUAAUCUUCUAAAGGAAGAACAGACACCCCAGAAUAAGAUUACAGCUGUUGGGGCUGGUGUUGUUGGCAUGGCUGUGCCAUCAGCAUCUUAACGAAGGAUUUGGCAGAUGAGCUUGCUCUUGUUGAUGUCAUUGAAGACAAAUUGAAGGGAGAGAUGAUGGAUCCCCAACAUGGCAGCCUUUUCCUUAGAGCACCAAACAUCGUGUCUGGCAAAGACUAUGAUGCGACUCCAAACUCCAACCUGGUUAUUGUCACAGCUGGGGCACAUCAGCAGGAUGGAGAAAGCCGUCUUAAUUUGGUCCAGCGUAAUGUGAACAUCUUUAAAUUCAUCAUUCCUAAUGUUGUAAAAUACAGCCCAAAUUGCAAGUUGCUUAUUCUUUCGAAGCCAGUGGAUAUCUUGAUCUAUGUGACUUGGAAGAUAAGUGGCUUUCCCAAAAACUGUGUUACUGGAAGUGGUUGCAAUCUGGAUUCAGCCCGGUUCCGUUACUGAUGGUGGAGAAGCUGGGGGUUCAUCCGUUAAGCUGUCAUGGAUGGGUCCUCGGGGAGCGUGGAGACUCUGGUGUGCCUGUAUGGAGUGGAGUGAAUGUUGCUGGAAUUUCCCUGAAGAAUCUGCACCUGGAUUUAGGCACUGAUAAAGAUAAGGAACAGUGGAAAGAGGACAGGUACACUUUGGGGGAUCCAAAAAGAGCUGCAAUUUUACAGUCUCCUAGUGUCGCACCACUUCACUGUCUAGGCUACCACAGAUUUUAGUUGGGAGUUGUGCAUGUUGUCUUUUUUAUCUGAUCUGUGAUUAA